UUCCUUACUUCUCAGGAACUUUAAUACUGAGUGGGGUUUCAUACUGCUGUGUGAAAUGUGCCAGCCAAAAUUGUUGAGUUUCGGCACAUGACCCAUCUGAUU